rnacentral:rRNA from 1 species
UACGAAGGGGGCUAGCGUUGCUCGGAAUUACUGGGCGUAAAGGGCGCGUAGGCGGAUAUUUAAGUUAGAGGUGAAAGCCCAGGGCUCAACCCUGGAAUAGCCUUUAAUACUGGAUAUCUUGAGUUCGGGAGAGGUGAGUGGAACUCCGAGUGUAGAGGUGAAAUUCGUAGAUAUUGGGGAAGAACACCGAUGGCGAAGGCAGCCAUCUGGACCGACACUGACGCUGAGGCGCGAAAGCGUGGGGAGCAAACAGG